rnacentral:rRNA from 1 species
CAGUAGUCACGAGUUUGAUCCUGGCUCAGGAUGAACGCUAGCGGCAGGCUUAACACAUGCAAGUCGAACGAGACCUUCGGGUAUAGUGGCGCACGGGUGCGUAACACGUGGGAAUUUGCCUCGGGGUAUGGAAUAACUCAGGGAAACUUGAGCUAAUACCAUAUAAUGUCUUCGGACCAAAGAUUUAUCGCCCUGAGAUAAGCCCGCGUAGGAUUAGCUAGUUGGUGAGGUAAAGGCUCACCAAGGCGACGAUCCUUAGCUGGUCUGAGAGGAUGAUCAGCCACACUGGGACUGAGACACGGCCCAGACUCCUACGGGAGGCAGCAGUGGGGGAAUAUUGGACAAUGGGCGAAAGCCUGAUCCAGCAAUGCCGCGUGAGUGAUGAAGGCCUUCGGGUUGUAAAGCUCUUUUACUCGGGACGAUAAUGACGGUACCGAGAGAAUAAGCCCCGGCUAACUCCGUG